UACGGAGGGGGCUAGCGUUGUUCGGAAUUACUGGGCGUAAAGCGCGCGUAGGCGGACCUGCAAGUCGGGGGUGAAAGCCCGAGGCUCAACCUCGGAACUGCCUUCGAUACUGCGGGUCUCGAGUCCGGGAGAGGUGAGUGGAAUUCCUAGUGUAGAGGUGAAAUUCGUAGAUAUUAGGAAGAACACAGUGGCGAAGGCGGCUCACUGGCCCGGUACUGACGCUGAGGCGGCGAAAAGCGUGGGGAGCAAACAGGG
rnacentral:rRNA from 1 species